rnacentral:snRNA from 1 species
UUGCUUUGACAGCACAUAUACUAAAAUCAGAAUAAUACAGAGAAGAUGAGCAUGGUCCCUGCACAAGGAUGACAUGCAAAUCUGUGAAGCAUUCCAUAUUUUU